UAAAAGAAUUUAGUGAUUCAACCUCUCUACAAUCUCCUCCCUGAUUUAACGUCGACCUAGAAGCUGAAGAAGAAGAAGAGGAUGUUAAGAAUGGAGAUACAGUCGAAGAGGUCAAGGUCGAGGUCUCUGUAUUGUAUACCCACUCUAUUUAGGCACAUUGAUAGUUAGUUAGUCUCCUCUCUCAUAUACAACAAACACAACAAAUCGAUUAUUUAGACAGUGCUCCAUCUUCGUUUCUGUCGGCGAUUGGGUCUCUCUCGCUCUAGAUUCAGGUUCAUUCUUUCUCUUAGCGAUCCUUGCUCUCUCUCUCUCGAUCUUUCCCCCAUUGAAGACACUUGCGAAGUCUCGACCUUCGUAUUCUCAAGAUUUGCUCGUUAUCUCUGAUCAGAACAUUCCUAAGAUUCGCAAGGUCACAAUGUUAACCACAAAGCAAUGCAGGUUCUCAUCAAACUACAUAAGAUCAUACUCCCUUUAUCUAGACUCUGAAAUUGCAAGUUUCCUUAGGCAGCUUGAAAGGUUUAAUUAAUGGUUGGAUGACUUGGUUGCAGAUGGAAUUGGGACGAAUGAGAGAAUAGAGAUCUUAUGGAAGAAGUUAUAUGGAUUUCUAUUAGAGCAUGUUUAGUCCAUCUUUGUUGUUAGUAAUUAUGGCUGUGUUUAUCUUUGAAUUUUGAUAUACAAAUUACCUCUUUCUGGCAGCAUUGUCACAGUACUUAUUAUUUAUUUCUUUUGCAUCUCAGUUUAUAUUUCAUAUUGCAUAUCAUGUCCAUGAGUUAGGAGUUGGGGAUUUUUCAUUGGAAAUUAUGAGUAUGAAACAUUAUUUCUUUAGAGAUGUUAUGUAAUGCAUAUUAUGUGUGUAUAGUGAAUAUGAAUCUGCCUUCUAUACAUAUUUAGUGCUUGUAAAACUCAAAUAAAGUGAAACCAUGAAGGGUAACGGGUGAAAUUAGUUACAGUGAUUUGGUCUUUAAUUCAAAAUUUGAAAGAAAUGAUUUAUUGAGUCCAUUCCAAGCUUCUGAUAAAUUAGGUUCUUACUUCAACAAAUGGCAUGCCCUAGUGAGGCACUAACUCCUCUUUUUCUUGGCUACACUGGUGAUCCUUGGUGAGGAGUUAGUGCAUCUCACUAGGGCAUGCCAUUCGUUGUUCUCCCUCAGUUUUUUGUUUUCUUAUGAGGCAUUUUUUUGUGUUUCCUAGCUUCUUGGUUGGUGAAGGUGCACGUAUGUGGGCAAAAUCCAAGGGUAUUCCUUUGCUGGCAAGUAUACUGGAUGUUGAUGAGUGGCUAGUUACAGAGAGGGCAAAAAGAUAGUGGAAUUGAUGGAGAACUUUCCUCUAGCACUCAAGAGAAUGCUGCUGUAUCAGGUUGCUACUGUUCAAGGUCUUUUAGGAACUGGUUCUCUUCGACUUGUUGUCUCAUUGAAAGAUAUCUCCCUAGGGCAAAAGUUGUAAUAUCAUCCCCAACUUGGGGUGAGUAUUGUCAGUCUAAUUGGUAAAAUUUGUCUUAAGGUCUAAUAAUUUAGAAUAAAGAUCAAUUUUCUAGGUAACCACAAGAAUAUUUUCAAUGAUGCUAGAGUUCCUUGGUCUGAAUACCGCUACUAUGAUCCAAAAACAGUUGGUUUGGAUUUUGAUGGGAUGAUAUCUGAUAUAAAGCAUUAUUGAGAGAAUAAACUAUGGCACUUCUUUAUCAGUCUCAGCUUUGAAAAUGAUUUCAGGCCAGAAUGGUUACAAAGUUCAAGUAGCUCCAAUCCAAGUAAGUCUAUAAAUGGUGGAGAUAUGGUGGUCUCAAAAUGGCUUCUUGUUGUGUUAUCUGCAGCAAGUGAAGAUGGUGAUGAUGAUGAUAAUAAUUCAGUGACUGAGACUUGAGAUGUUGACACCAUGGUGUCUAAUAAACAAGAAAGCUGAUUAUUACAACUAAGUGAUGAGUGUUGCAUUGCCAACAGCUGUGAAGAAUGGUGAUCAUAAUCAUCACUGGGCACUAUUUGGAUCCCAAAACUUGGACAAUUCUUUCAUAGUGUAGAUCAUGUGAUUUAAAACUCUGGAUAAAUGCAUAAUUAGAUGGCAAAAAUUUGCCAUCUUUCAUAGUGUACAUCAUGUUGAUAAAUGAAACUUAUGAUUUGGAUUCUUUUUUUGAUUUGUA